UACAGAGACUGCAAGCGUUAUUCGGAUUCACUGGGCGUAAAGGGUGCGCAGGCGGCCAAGUGUGUGAGGUGUGAAAGCCCGGGGCUUAACCCCGGAAUUGCACCUCAAACUACUUGGCUAGAGCAUUGGAGAGGGUAGCAGAAUUCACGGUGUAGCAGUGAAAUGCGUAGAUAUCGUGAGGAAUACCAGAGGCGAAGGCGGCUACCUGGACAAUUGCUGACGCUCAGGCACGAAAGCGUAGGGAGCAAAAGGG
rnacentral:rRNA from 1 species